rnacentral:rRNA from 1 species
AUGUUUCCGUUCAAGUUUAAGAGGAAGCAAUUUCCUAUAAGGCUUAGCUUUGCUAUGACCAUUAACAAGGCUCAAGGGCAGACAGUCCCGAUUGUUGGUGUCUACCUACCCAAUCCCGUGUUCUCUCAUGGUCAACUCUAUGUUGCUUUGUCUCGAGCCACCGCAAAGAGAAACAUAAAGAUACUCAUUCAGAAGGAGAAGCCGAAGGAGAAGUCCAACAAGCAAAAGGACAAUCCAAAGAAGCGAAAAACACCGACCGUGUCAUUACUAACCUCGAUGAAGAACAUCGUCUACAAGGAAGUCCUUACAGGCUGA